ensembl:lncRNA
CAACAAAACACCACACCAAAUAACCAGGCUGUGAGUCUUUCAGCUUGGUCCACUCUUGUCCCUGCAGGGUGUGUCUGCUGCUGCCUUUAGUCCACUUGAGCUGCACUGGCCAUGACAUAUUUCAGCAGAACUCUCCACAGCGGGUUCUCAUGCAGAUCUCCCUGACAGCAGUGGGCAGAUCGAUGAGAAGGAUAGAAAUGGAAGCCAAGAGACCAGCAGAAGGCUGCCAGGAGCAAGAAUCGGGGAGAGUGCUGAGGCAUCAGCCAAGACAAGGAGAGGCAACCUCCGGAGGGACUCGGGGAGGCAGAAGCUGUGGGCCUGGGGCAGCCUCUUGCUUGGAAGGCAGGCCCUCUGCUCAUGUACUGCAAGCGGGGAUGACAGUGGUGCAGAAGGCAAGAAGAAAACACAAACAGGUUGGGACCAGCUGCCUGAGGCCUGACAGAGAAAUGCCCUCUUUUCCUGUGUGUGGUUUGUGCUUCUCACCGGCAGAGCAGCCAGCAUUUGAGACUUCAAUCAGGACAUAAGUCUUGGGGAAGAAGCCAGCAAGUCAUCUGACCUGCCACCAGUCCAGCUCACCAGCUGAGGACCAGGUUAGGCCAAGUGCCCAGGGCUGCCACAUAUGCUGGACAUUCUGUGCAAAGAACAAGUCGUUAUUGGAUGGCAUUCCUGUUGGACAUCUUUGGGUGGAAAUGAACGAGGCUGAUCACUUCCAGGAGAGAAGCAAUGAGCACCUAGUGUCCUUGGAUCUUUAUCUGCUGUAUCCUCUUAUAUCUCUUGUAAGACGGCCUUAUCCUCUUUCAUUCAGCCUUCCCAGGACAAGUGGCAGGGGGGGUCUCAAAUCUCUGCUUUGACAUUUGAUGCCGUUCAAGGAGCAAUCUCAUUCAAAGAAAGGGCUGAGAAACGAGUUUGAGUAUUUUCUGGUUAUAAUUUAACAUUAUCUUGAGUAGAAAAUGGCAGGAUUUUGUUGAAAAACCCCUUUUUGACUGAUGUGUGUUCUCUUCUAGUUUUGAACAUUUCAGUCACUGUCUUAUAAAAAUAAUUUUAUUGAUUUGAGGCUUGGCAAAGAGAAAUGAUCUACUUUUCAAAAAUGGCCUUAUAAAGAGUGUAUGACUUCCCCCCUUUCCCAAAGUUCUUUGUGUCUUCUUUUAUGUUUAAAAUCUCCUGGAUGAUAUGCCUUGGUCUUUUCUACUAUUGUGCUGAGUGCUUGGUGGGGCCUUUAAUCUGAGAAAUAGUAUCCCAUAGGAAAAAUGCCUCAAACAUUUUUUUCUAUUACACUUCUUUGAUAACUUUUCCCCCUUCCAUUUACUCUGUUUUGUCUUUCUGGAGCUUGUAGUUUUUGGAUGUUGAAUUCCCUGGACUAAACGUCUAACUUUUCCAAAAAUAUUUUUUCCCAUGACUUUUCUCUCUUGAUUCCUUAAUUAGUUAAAAAAAUUUAAAGCACAUCCAAGUUUAUAUAAAAGUUGCCACUGGGGGUAUCUGGGUGGUGUAGUCAGUUAAGUGCCUGAAAUUGGCUCAGGUCAUGAUCUUGGGGUCCUGGGACCGGGCCCCAAGUCGAGUCCCUGGCUCAGCAGGGAGCCUGCUUCUCCCUCUUCCUCUGCCCCUCCUUCCACUUGUGCCCAUGCUUUCUCUUUCUCUCUCUCUCUCUCAAAUAAAUAAAUAAAAUCUUUUUAAAACA